AACUGCUCCGGUGGCCUAGUGGUUAGAGCAUCCACCUUGGAUGUGAGAAGUCGUGGGUUCGAUCCCUGGUUGAGUUA